GAUGAACGCUGGCGGCGUGCCUAAUACAUGCAAGUCGAGCGAACGGACGAGAAGCUUGCUUCUCUGAUGUUAGCGGCGGGCGGGUGAGUAACACGUGGAUAACCUACCUAUAAGACUGGGAUAACUUCGGGAAACCGGAGCUAAUACCGGAUAAUAUUUUGAACCGCAUGGUUCAAAAGUGAAAGACGGUCUUGCUGUCACUUAUAGAUGGAUCCGCGCUGCACUAGCUAGUUGGUAAGGUAACGGCUUACCAAGGCAACGAUGCAUAGCCGACCUGAGAGGGUGAUCGGCCACACUGGAACUGAGACACGGUCCAGACUCCUACGGGAGGCAGCAGUAGGGAAUCUUCCGCAAUGGGCGAAAGCCUGACGGAGCAACGCCGCGUGAGUGAUGAAGGUCUUCGGAUCGUAAAACUCUGUUAUUAGGGAAGAACAUAUGUGUAAGUAACUGUGCACAUCUUGACGGUACCUAAUCAGAAAGCCACGGCUAACUACGUG
rnacentral:rRNA from 1 species